rnacentral:rRNA from 1 species
AAAACACGAGUGCUAAGUAUUAGAGGGUUUCCGCCUUCUAGUGAAGCAGCUAACGCAUUAAGCACUCCGCCUGGGGAGUCCGGUGGCAAGACCGAAACUCAAAGGAAAUGACGGGGGCCCGCACAAGCGGUGGAGCAUGUGGUUUAAUUUGAAGCAACGCGAAGAACCUUACCAGGUCUUGACAUCCUUUGACAACUCUAGAGAUAGAGCGUUCCCCUUCGGGGGACAGAGUGACAGGUGGUGCAUGGUUGUCGUCAGCUCGUGUCGUGAGAUGUUGGGUUAAGUCCCGCAACGAGCGCAACCCUUGAUCUUAGUUGCCAGCAUUUAGUUGGGCACUCUAAGGUGACUGCCGGUGACAAACCGGAGGAAGGUGGGGAUGACGUCAAAUCAUCAUGCCCCUUAUGACCUGGGCUACACACGUGCUACAAUGGAUGGUACAAAGGGCUGCAAGACCGCGAGGUCAAGCCAAUCCCAUAAAACCAUUCUCAGUUCGGAUUGUAGGCUGCAACUCGCCUACAUGAAGCUGGAAUCGCUAGUAAUCGCGGAUCAGCAUGCCGCGGUGAAUACGUUCCCGGGCCUUGUACACACCGCCCGUCACACUCACGAGAGUUUGUAACACCCCGAAGUCCGGUGGAGUA